UAGGGAAUCUUCGGCAAUGGACGAAAGUCUGACCGAGCAACGCCGCGUGAGUGAAGAAGGUUUUCGGAUCGUAAAACUCUGUUGUUAGAGAAGAACAAGGACGUUAGUAACUGAACGUCCCCUGACGGUAUCUAACCAGAAAGCCACGCCUAACUACGUGCCAGCAGCCGCGGUAAUACGUAGGUGGCAAGCGUUGUCCGGAUUUAUUGGGCGUAAAGCGAGCGCAGGCGGUUUCUUAAGUCUGAUGUGAAAGCCCCCGGCUCAACCGGGGAGGGUCAUUGGAAACUGAGAGACUUGAGUGCAGAAGAGGGGAGUGGAAUUCCAUGUGUAGCGGUGAAAUGCGGAGAUAUAUGGAGGAACACCAGUGGCGAAGGCGGCGCUCUGGUCUGUAACUGACGCUGAGGCUCGAAAGCGUGGGGAGCAAACAGG
rnacentral:rRNA from 1 species